rnacentral:lncRNA from 1 species
AGGAAUUCCGAUCUUUCCCUCUCUUCUUAUCUCCCGUUGCUGGGAGCACUCCUCACUGUUUGUUUUCACUGGGACUGAUCCUGUCAGUUCCAUCCCUGAACGUGAUGUCCAAAACUCCGGAAAAAAAAAAAAAAAGGCAAGCACUGGUACAGGGCCCAGAGGCUCCCAGUUUACCUCUAGACAUUACCUUGUAGUGAUCUUCGUAGGCCCUCACAUCCCAGGGAGGCCUGAGCCUGCAGCCUGGUCAACAGGGACUCACUGCCCACGUGACACCCCAACCCUGCUGCUCACUCUGGUGCUGUCUCCUGUUGUGUCUCCCACUGCCUUCCCUGCUGCACCCGCCCCUUCCUCGCCCCGCCCCGGAGUCAUGCCCUCUAGCCCCCCGCUGGCGGCUGCCUCCUCCAUGUCCCUUCCGGCCGCUGCCCCCACCACCAGCGUCUUCUCCUUCUCGCCUGUCAACAUGAUCUGCGCUGUCAAGCAGAGAAGCGCCUUCGCCCCUGUGCUGCGCCCACCCAGCUCCCCAUCGCAGGCCUGCCCCAGAGCCCACAGAGAGGGGCUUCCAGACCAGCCUUUUGAAGAUACUGACAAGUUCCACUCUGCAGCUCGGGGACUCCAGGGCCUGGCAUACUCCUAAUCAUGGUGCUGUCCCCAGUGAGUCUGGACUGGAGGUCUUUCUGGUUUCACGUUCAUGGCUGGAUGGCAGCACAAAGAGAUAUAGGGUCAGGACUUUGAGUGGACCUCAAUCCCUGGGAUGCACAGGGAGAGGCCUUCACCUCUGUGCUGGAGGCCCCCUCAUACCUAAAGACCUUCAUGUUUACCUCUCUUUCUUGGGGCACAUAAGAAGCCCAGCACUGUGAGGACGCUCUUGGCAGAAGGGCAUCAUAGGGAGGUGUUGGGAUGUUGGGCCUUACUAUUGGUAAGAUGAGCAAGAAUCGGGAAUGGUGAGAAAGAGGACAGCUCAGGGAGAGGUCAUCAGGAGAGGCCCUGUUUGCAUCUGACCAAUCACACCUGACCUAGUAGCCACCUUCUCUCUUGUGAGCAAGGUGUCUAGCAGUCUCAGGAGGCCCAUUCAGGCUCCUAUGGAGCUGCCCACAAGUCCCUGGACCCCAAUGGCUGCCUUCACAUCCUCUGAGAGUAGCACAUUCAUGCUGAUCAUACCCCACAUCCCUGUGGGGGCUUUAGGCAUGGAAGCUGCAUAGAAGGGCCUCCUGGAUUUUGACUCUGACCCCAAUGGAUGUUUCAUGAAAUUUGUCCCCCUACCACCACACACCCAGCUCUAGCUGGCCCCAAAGAACAGCCUGGCUGCACCUUGGUGGCCUCACAUUCAUCAGAGUUUGGACAAAAUGGAACAAUAAAAACAGAUGCAGGUGGCCACGGGGCCUCUUGUGCCUGC